GUCAAAAGUGUGCUUAUUUUAGGACGGACUUGUUUUAUGAGUGACCCCCAAGGAAUCUCUGGCAUCCUUAAUUCCAUAUGAUAUUUACAGAGUCUGGUCUAAUAGUAUUAUCCUGAGUGUAGAUAUGUGUAAAAAUGCCUUGAACUGCCUACUUCAUAUUUACACUUAACUCUGUGGAGAUGAUGCAAAAUAAAAUAAUACAAAAUGAUAAAAACUGCAAUCAUCUAAAUUGUUUUAUAGCUAUGUUGUAGAAGCUGUCCCAAGUUGACCAGGGGAGAGGAAUAGAAACCCUCAGGUCAGAUUUAACUCAAUUGGGAAUUUAGAGAUCUAGAUAGCUUUUAAUUGGUAAGAAUCAGAUGUACUUCUAGGAGAACAUAAUUGCUUGUAUUGGGUAAACAUUAAUUUUAUCUCUCUGACUUUGCAUUUUGGCCCUUAGUAUCUUUGAAAUAAUGUGUGUGUUUGCUUUGCCUUCAUUUGAUCCUGGCUCUGCCUUUUAAAACCAAUGCUGCUGCCGCCGCUACCGCUAUUGCUGCUGCCAUCACCGCCUCUCCCAAGUUCAGAACGAUUUACAAAUGUUUGGACUGAGAAACAAAGACAGAAAAUGGGGGCAUGGUCUGGUUUGUUGCAAACAUAUUUUUCCUGCCAAGCUGCAGGGAAUAGUAUUUGGGACAGCUUUGCUUUCAUAAUUGGAACCAUAGCUCCUUGGAUUGCCUUUGGAUUGUGAACUUCAGGCUCUGCCACCCUGCAAGAGCCAUUUUACGCUGGGACGUGGUGUACCAGGAUUCUUACUUUCUGUAAGUGAGAAUAGCAGAGCUCCAGAACCAGUGGGGAUAACACUGAAAGAGUAGUAGCAGACCUCAAGUCUUUUAUAAGUUUUGCACUUUUCAUUACUUUCCCUCUGCUUCCUCCCAGCUGUGGCUAACACUGAUUGACACUUUCCUGUGUGUCGGAUGCCACUCUAAGCCUUUUCCAUGCAUUAGUUCAUUUAAUCCUUACUAACUCUGAAAGCUAGCAUUGCUAUUGCCUUUUAUAGACAAAUUAUCUGGCACAGGGACAAAGAAGUCACUUGGCCAGCAUCAAAAUGCUGAUUCCAGAGUCUGAGCUCUUAUCUAUCCACUAUCUAAAUAAAAUUGAUUUUCCAGGGAGGUGAUUGUCUAAAGUUCCUUAUCUAAUUCCUAUUUUCUACCACCACUACCUCCACCUUUCUGGGCAAGCACAAUUAAAACCUUUUUGUUUUUGAGAUGGGGUUGUCUAAAUGUAACCCAGACUGAUCUUGAAUUCUCUAUAGCUAAAGCUUGUCUUGAACUUGUUGUACAGCCAAGAAUGACCUUGAACUUCUUGUUCCUGAAUCUUUUUGCCUGCCUUCUUAAUGCUAGGAUCAUAAGUGGGUGGCGCAGUGCAUGGCUUACGCAGUGCUGGCUGGCAACCAGUGCAUACUUGGAAAACAGUACAUGCUAAGCAAGUACACACUCCAGUGAGCUACAUCCCCAGACCCUAAAAACACUCAUAUAUGAACUGCAAAACUCCAAACCUUUAAUGGAUGUCUGUUAUAUACCAGUUAUAAUUCUGAGUCCUUUCAUACAGGUGUUCAUUCCAUCUUUGGAAUUCUCUGUGAAAUUCAUAGCAUUACCUCCAUAUUACAAGACACAGAAAUUGAGGCCUGACCUAGCAACUUGUCUAGACUUCUGUUAUUAAUAAGAGAUGGUGCUAGAGUUUGGGUGUAGGUCCUCUAACUCCAGUUCUAUGGCACAUCCCAGAUGAUCUGUCUCAUGUAGUAUGCAUCACAUCCUUGUUGUCUUUGAAGGUUCUACCUGUUCUGCUUCUCAUGUUAGUUUAAUCCUCAUGAGAAGAUACUAUGAACCACAGUAGUUCACAGUAAAUACUCAGUGAACUGAAUGACUUUUUAACAAUUGUUGUAUGAAAAGCUUUAAUUUAAUCGUUUCCUAUGAGGUUUUGAGUCUGCUUCAUUAUUUUCCUCUUAACAGCUAUGACUAGAUCAUUAAAUUGCAUCAUUAAAUUGCUAUUUUAUGCCCCAUGGCUUCUUGUAGAAAUUUCAUUCCUUGAUUGAUUCAACAAAUAUUUGUUAAGUAUAUAUUAUGGAACAUUUACCAUGGCAAGCCCUUGGAAAAGAGGGGAGAGCAGGACAAAGUGUGCAGAGCAGAGGUUAUGGGUUUAAGAAACUUAUCCUAUAACUUGAGGUAAAGCCACAUAUACAGAUGAUUUCUGGGAUUGUGAAAAGGUUUGUGGGGGACCCUUUUCCCAACUUUCCCCAAUCUUACAGGAUAGUGAAAGGCUGUCCCAAAGGAGAGGAAUGAAAUGAGGAACUUCCAGUUUUAAAUUACU
rnacentral:lncRNA from 1 species